AACUUUGCCGGGGAUUCUCUUUUCUGUGAAUGGGCU
rnacentral:scRNA from 1 species